rnacentral:rRNA from 1 species
CAGUAGCCGCGGUAAUACGAAGGGUGCAAGCGUUACUCGGAAUUACUGGGCGUAAAGCGUGCGUAGGUGGUGGUUUAAGUCCGUUGUGAAAGCCCUGGGCUCAACCUGGGAAUUGCAGUGGAUACUGGGUCACUAGAGUGUGGUAGAGGAUAGUGGAAUUUCCGGUGUAGCAGUGAAAUGCGUAGAGAUCGGAAGGAACAUCUGUGGCGAAGGCGACUAUCUGGGCCAACACUGACACUGAGGCACGAAAGCGUGGGGAGCAAACAGGAUUAGAUACCCGAGUAGUCCCUGUCUCUUAUAA